rnacentral:sRNA from 1 species
CUGAAAUCAUCCGUUUCAAGGCCCACCUGGGGAAC